rnacentral:misc_RNA from 1 species
CUUACAGAGAGCAAAGAAGGUGCAUCUUUUCCAAGUGAUGCCAGUUGUGCUGAAGAUAAUUUAUGUAAUCUAAUAUUGGCUGCCAAUAAAGAAUCUGCAAGCACAGCAUCUGAAGCAUUCAGUAAUUUAUCGCCUAGGGAUGAAUGUAAGAUUGAAUUUUCAGAAGUUGCCAAUGCUGCUUUAAGGCAGAAUGAUGCAUUAGUUAAAGAAAAAAUUGCUAUGAGGAAGCGGUUUUUGAAAUUUAAGGAGAGAGUUAUAACCCUUAAGUUGAAAGCCUUUCACCACCUGUGGAAGGAAGAUAUGCGCCUGCUUUCGAUAAGGAAAUACCGUGCAAAAUCUCAGAAGAAAUAUGAAUUGAACUUGCGAAUAACACAUAGUGGGUAUCAAAAAAAUCGUUCUUCAAUUCGAUCUCGAGUCUCUUCACUUGUUGGAAAUCUUCGUCUGGUCCCUACC